rnacentral:tRNA from 1 species
GUAUCUAUGGCGAAGUGGCAACGCUCUAGUCUGCAAAACUAGCAUUCGUGGGUUCGAAUCCCACUAGAUACUUA